CCCCGGAUCCCCACCUGCAGGAGAGUCGCUUCACAGGCUGUAGAGCAGGUCUGCAGGUGUGUCUAUCUUUCUCUCCCCCACUCUGUCUUCCCCUCCUCUCUCCAUUUCUCUCUGUCCUAUCCAACAACGAAUAACGUCAACAAGGGCAAUAAUAAUAACCACAAC